rnacentral:tRNA from 1 species
UCCCUGGUGGCUGAGUAGCUAAAACACAGCACUCCCAAUGCAGGGGACCCAGGUUUGAUCUUUGGUCAGGGAA